CCCCUCUGCCAAUGGGCAAAGAGACACCUUGUUGGUGUCUUAUAUCAGUCAGGGGCAGAACAAAUGCCCCUGCUCAUCAAAAGGCCUUUGCUCAUCCUAACUUGAUGUCUGGCUUGAUGGCCAAAGCUGUUUUAUACUUAGAACACAUAA